ACACAUGCAGUCGAGCGCACCUUCGGGUGAGCGGCGGACGGGUGAGUAACGCGUGGGAACGUACCCUUCUCUGCGGAAUAGCCACUGGAAACGGUGAGUAAUACCGCAUACGCCCUUCGGGGGAAAGAUUUAUCGGAGAAGGAUCGGCCCGCGUUGGAUUAGGUAGUUGGUGGGGUAAUGGCCUACCAAGCCUACGAUCCAUAGCUGGUUUGAGAGGAUGAUCAGCCACACUGGGACUGAGACACGGCCCAGACUCCUACGGGAGGCAGCAGUGGGGAAUCUUAGACAAUGGGCGCAAGCCUGAUCUAGCCAUGCCGCGUGAGUGAAGAAGGCCUUAGGGUCGUAAAGCUCUUUCGCUGGGGAAGAUAAUGACUGUACCCAGUAAAGAAACCCCGGCUAACUCCGUGCCAGCAGCCGCGGUAAUACGGAGGGGGUUAGCGUUGUUCGGAAUUACUGGGCGUAAAGCGCGCGUAGGCGGAUCAGAAAGUUGGGGGUGAAAUCCCGGGGCUCAACCUCGGAACUGCCUCCAAAACUCCUGGUCUUGAGUUCGAGAGAGGUGAGUGGAAUUCCGAGUGUAGAGGUGAAAUUCGUAGAUAUUCGGAGGAACACCAGUGGCGAAGGCGGCUCACUGGCUCGAUACUGACGCUGAGGUGCGAAAGUGUGGGGAGCAAACAG
rnacentral:rRNA from 1 species